UACGUAGGGUCCGAGCGUUGUCCGGAUUUAUUGGGCGUAAAGAGCUCGUAGGCGGUUCGGUAAGUCGGGUGUGAAACCUCCAGGCUCAACCUGGAGACGCCACCUGAUACUGCUGUGACUCGAGUCCGGUAGGGGAGCGUGGAAUUCCUGGUGUAGCGGUGAAAUGCGCAGAUAUCAGGAGGAACACCGGUGGCGAAGGCGGGUCUCUGGGCCGAUACUGACGCUGAGGAGCGAAAGCGUGGGGAGCGAACAGG
rnacentral:rRNA from 1 species